rnacentral:rRNA from 1 species
UACGUAGGCAGCGAGCGUUGUUCGGAGUUACUGGGCGUAAAGCGUGCGUAGGCGGUUGUCUAAGUCUGGUGUGAAAUCUCCCGGCUCAACUGGGAGGGUGCGCCGGAAACUGGAUGACUGGAGUGCCGGAGAGGUAAGCGGAAUUCCUGGUGUAGCGGUGAAAUGCGUAGAGAUCAGGAGGAACACCUGUGGUGUAGACAGCUUACUGGACGGUGACUGACGCUGAGGCACGAAAGCGUGGGUAGCAAACGGG